rnacentral:rRNA from 1 species
UACGGGGGGGGGGUAAGCGUUGUUCGGAAUUACUGGGCGUAAAGGGCUCGUAGGCGGCCAACUAAGUCAGACGUGAAAUCCCUCGGCUUAACCGGGGAACUGCAUCUGAUACUGGAUGGCUUGAGUUCGGGAGAGGGAUGCGGAAUUCCAGGUGUAGCGGUGAAAUGCGUAGAUAUCUGGAGGAACACCGGUGGCGAAGGCGGCAUCCUGGACCGGCAUUGACGCUGAGGCGCGAAAGCCAGGG